rnacentral:tRNA from 1 species
GCCCCGAUGGCUCAGUUGGUAGAGCGUGUCCUUGGUAAGGACAAGGUCCCGAGUUCAAUCCUCGGUCGGGGCU